CCACUUUAAAAUCUUAUUCCCUAAUAAUACUAUUUUUUUUUCCUGUGAUUGCUCUUUAUCAGACCUGCAGCGGUAGGCAAGUUAGGUUGGUCAGAUACCGGGUGAUUUACAAUACGAGUCUGGAAUUCAGAAAGUCUAGUGAAAAAUCUGACAAUUGAUUCUUAGGUAAGAAAAUACAGUUUUCCUUCUUUACAAGCUAUUCCCUGUAUGGCUGAUCUCUUAUUAACGCUCUAGUCUGGUUUUGUUAGUGUAUUGUGCCAAUGAGAGAUUAUCUCUAUUAAAUAUCAUAUAAUAAUACAGAGGUGAUAAAACCGCAUCUGUUAUUUGUAGGCGUGGACUAUGUGAAUCAGUCUUCC